CAGCAGCCACGGUAAUACGUAGGUGGCAAGCGUUGUCCGGAAUUAUUGGGCGUAAAGGGCUCGCAGGCGGUUUCUUAAGUCUGAUGUGAAAGCCCCCGGCUCAACCGGGGAGGGUCAUUGGAAACUGGGAAACUUGAGUGCAGAAGAGGAGAGUGGAAUUCCACGUGUAGCGGUGAAAUGCGUAGAGAUGUGGAGGAACACCAGUGGCGAAGGCGACUCUCUGGUCUGUAACUGACGCUGAGGAGCGAAAGCGUGGGGAGCGAACAGGAUUAGAUACCCGGGUAGUCCCUGUCUCUUAUCU
rnacentral:rRNA from 1 species